rnacentral:rRNA from 1 species
UACGACUACAUAUCAGGCAUAUCAAUAAGCGGAGGAAAAGAAACUAACAAGGAUUCCCUUAGUAACGGCGAGUGAAGCGGGAAGAGCUCAAAUUUGAAAUCUUCAAGGUUUUACCUUGACGAAUUGUAGUUUAAAGAAGUGUUUUCUGUUGGAGUUUCGGUAAAAGUUCUUUGGAAUAGGACAUCAUAGAGGGUGAGAAUCCCGUAUUUGACCGUUACUUUCCAGCUGUGUGAUACACUUUCAAAGAGUCGGAUUGUUUGGGAACGCAGUCCAAGAUGGGUGGUAAAUCUCAUCUAAAGCUAAAUAUUGGCGAGAGACCGAUAGCGAACAAGUACCGUGAGGGAAAGAUGAAAAGAACUUUGAAAAGAGAGUUAAACAGUACGUGAAAUUGUCAAAAGGGAAGCGUUUGACACCAGUGUUGUUUAGUUGAAAAUCAAUUCAAUAGUUUUUGAUUCUAAGUAGUAUUGACUUCAUCAGCUUGCUGCUUUCUUCUCAGAAAUUAUUGAAUGCACUUUUCAGUUAACAAGUCAACAUCAAUUUCUUUUGUUGUAAAAGGGUAAGAGGAAGGUGGCUUGCGCUUCGGCUCAAGUGUUUAUAGCCUUUUAUCCUCUGCAAUCGGAGAGAUUGAGGUCUGCAGCGUAGACUCUUCGGGGUUAGAUACCUUGGUGCUAAGCUAUAGCCUUGUAUAGACAACUUGUUGACUAUGCUCAGUCAUGUAGCUUACUCGCUUGUAGUAUUUUACCUACGCUUAGGAUGUUGAACGCGCACAGAGUCUC